rnacentral:rRNA from 1 species
UACGUAGGUGGCGAGCGUCGUCCGGAAUCAUUGGGCGUAAAGGGAGCGCAGGCGGGAGAUUAAGUCUAUCUUAAAAGUUCGGGGCUCAACCCCGUGAUAGGAUGGAAACUAAUCUUCUUGAGUGCAGGAGAGGAAAGCGGAAUUCCUAGUGUAGCGGUGAAAUGCGUAGAUAUUAGGAGGAACACCAGUGGCGAAGGCGGCUUUCUGGACUGUAACUGACGCUGAGGCUCGAAAGCGUGGGGAGCGAACA